GACGAACGCUGGCGGCGUGCCUAAUACAUGCAAGUUGAGCGCUGAAGGUUGGUACUUGUACCAACUGGAUGAGCAGCGAACGGGUGAGUAACGCGUGGGGAAUCUGCCUUUGAGCGGGGGACAACAUUUGGAAACGAAUGCUAAUACCGCAUAAAAACUUUAAACACAAGUUUUAAGUUUGAAAGAUGCAAUUGCAUCACUCAAAGAUGAUCCCGCGUUGUAUUAGCUAGUUGGUGAGGUAAAGGCUCACCAAGGCGAUGAUACAUAGCCGACCUGAGAGGGUGAUCGGCGACGUUGGGACGGGGACACGGCCCAAACUCCUGCGGGAGGCAGCAGGAGGGAAUCUUCGCGGAUGGACGAAAGUCUGAACGAGCAACGCCGCGUGAGUGAAGAAGGUUUUCGGAUCGUAAGACUCUGUUAGUAGAGAGGAACGUUGGUGAGAGUGGAAAGCUCAUCAAGUGACGGUAACUACGCAGAAAGGGACGGCUAACUACGUG
rnacentral:rRNA from 1 species